UGGCUCAGUCAGUUAAGUGUCUGAUUCUUGAUCUCAGCUCAGGUCUUGAUCUCAGGGUUGUGAGUUCAAGCCCUCUGUUGGACUCUGUGCUUGGCAUGAAGUCGACUUAAAUAGUAUUUACCUUAAAUUUCAGAUAAUAGACAAGUAUACCCCAAAAUUCCUGAGAUAAAACUUGCAUUCUUUCUCUGUCCCUUGAAGAUGUGAGUCUUACCAUAUCAUUGAAAUGUAAACACCAUAGGAGAUAACUAAAACACUGUCCAUAAUCACGUGAGACUGAAGGAAAUAAAGUGUGUGUAGGAGGUUUUUAAAAAUACAAUCUGCAAUGAAAUCUCCCUUGUUCAAACUCUAGUCUACAGCUUUCAUAAGAUUACUUGUCAAGGGCAAAUACAAAUCUUAAAAGUCUUCUCCACAAAUAGUAAAAAAAUUAGCCACAUGAGUGGGUAAACUUACCUUAUUCCAACUGCCAGAAAUACAAUUUGGAUCCAACUGUUAUUUGUAAACUAGUGAGUUUUGUAUUAUUGUACCUGCCUGAUUCAUGGCUAAAAUUUUAGAGUGAAAGCUCUAAGUUCUCAGUUUGUGUCUGCCCUGUGUGUUAAUUUAUGUAUGUUUAUCCACAUAUGUUAUACAUGUGUGAUUGAUGUUUCCUGUCUCCAAAUGGUAUUACCAAAAUUAAUUUGUAGUAAAACCCUAUUUAAUUGGCUUAAAGAAAGAUAAGCACUUAUCAAAUUAAAUAUUUCUAAACUCUCAGAAGCGUAAUAGAAAUCAACCCAUGUACUUUCAUUUCAUGUUACCUGAGGUAGCUUUGGUAAAUAAAACCUAGUUUAAGUUAGUUGGUGUAAUUAAAAAAAUGAAUGUCUUUAGAGUUAUUGGCAUUUAAAAACAGUUAAUGGUACUGUAUUUUAGGUUUACUAAAAGUCAAAUAAGCUCAUGUUAUCCCUGUUAACAAAAUUUGUCAGCAAGAAAAGUAAGUUAAGAUGAUGGCUAGCUGCUUUAAAGUCUUAUGAAAUUUUCAGUAAUCUAAAUAUGAUUAUUAAGAAUUAGUAAAUUAAAUAAAUGUAAGGAAGAUAAAAAUGUUUAAGUGAACUUUCAAUAAUAAUCAUUAAAAUUUUUUAAAAUAUUUAUUUAUUUUUGAGAGAGAGGCAGAGUGUGAGUUGGGGAGGGGCAGAGAAAGAGGGAGACACAGAAUCUGAAGCAGGCUAUAGGCUCUGAGCUGUCAGCACAGAGCCUGAUGCGGGGCUCAAAUUCACCUACUGUGAGAUCAUGGCCUGAGCUGAAGUUGGAUGUUUAAUCGACUGAGCCACCCAAGCACCCCAACAGUAAUCAUUUUUUAAUGAUACAUCUAUGUAAAUUUUCUUAAAUCUCUUUAGCAACUUAAACCCUCAGAGUUUUGCUAAGUUAAGUAUAAAUGAUGGAAAUUCAUUGAAUAUCUAGGUCAUUUCUAAGUAAGGUAAAAUACAGAAACAUUAAUUAUUGAACAUAGGUUUAUAUACUUUUGGCUUCUUAUUGCAGAGAUACUAAACAUAUUUGGAUCUACCAAUAAACAUGUCUUAUUUCACAUUAAAAAAAAUUGUACUUCAAGAAAACAUAUGCUUCUAGAGGUUAUGAAAUGCCUUAAUGGGUUUGGCAAUCUACAGAAUACUGGUAUAAUAGUUCACAAUUGCUUACUUAGUUUUCACUAAAAAUAAAUGUUUCUAACAGUUAAGAAUUCUAAUUAAUAUAUAAAAUAGUAAGGAAAAGAAAACUAUGCAAGCAAAGAAAGAUGUGUUUUGGCUAAGAAAAGGUAUGAGACAUGGAGAUGUAUUUUUGUUAAGGGAAAAAGUAGUAUAAUAGCUUGUUGUUUAAGAGAAAAAGAGAGAAAUAGAGAGAAGGAAAGACAAUUUUUCCUGUAUGGUCAUGCUAGCUAAAAUUGAAUAUAUUUAUUAUAAGCGUUUUUUGAAAUAAGGUCUAAUAUCAAUAGUGUAUCAAUAGUGUACUUAUGUAAAAAAAACACUUAAAUUUCUUUUGUCUGCUAACAGGACAGUUUUCUUGGACUAUUGGUCUGCUUUUGAUAAGAUUGUAGAAGGUUUUUCUUCAUCCUUUAAGAAAUCUGCCUAGAAGGCAAAGAUUUUGUGUUUUGUUUUAAUUUCCUCACGUUAUGUUCCCUUUAUGAGGUCUUUGAUUACUUAAAACAGAGUCUUCUCUAUUAAAAGAACUAAAUUUUUUUCUACUAUGUAACUUUCUGUAUUUUCCUGCUAAGUCUUUAGUUGUUUUUAGUUGUCACUUUGGUUAAAUGAAUAACUUAAUAUUGUUCCACACUAACCUGUGACCCUUUAAUCAAAUGUUUAAAACCUACUGAUAUUUUUGACAAACUUUUCCCAAAUCAAAUUCCUUUUUUUUUUUUUUUUGAGUUUAUUUAUUUAUUUUGAGUGGCGUGGAGAGCAGGGGGGUUGAGAGGCAGAAAGAGAGGGAGAGAGAGAAAAUCCCAAGCAGACUCUACAUCUGCAGUAUGGAGCCUGACAUGGGGCUCGAGCCUGGGCUCGAACACAUAAACCUCAAGUUCAUGACCUGAACUGAAACCAAGAGUCAGAUGCUUAACCCACUGAGGCACCCCUGCCCCAAUCAAACUCUAAGUGAAGUCUUUUUGACCUUGAGCUUACUUUGGGAUUUUGUAGAGGGUCCCUGGACCAUCUUGAAAGAUAUAUUCUCUCUCCUUGUAAAGAAGAGAGUUGAUAAACUAAUUGGAAUUAUUUGAUAUGUUAAAUUACACUGGAAGCAUUAUUAAAUCAGAAGUGAUGUUAAAUCUUCUUUGUGUUGUAUUUGUAUGGAUAUAGAUUAUUAUUAUUUAAAGUUUAUUUAUUUUGAGAGAGAGAGGGAAUAAGAGAGGGAACACAUGGGAAUGGGUGGGGAAAGAGCAGAGAGAGAAGGAGAGAGAGCAUCCCAAGCAGGCUCUAUGCUGUCAGUGCGGAGCCGGGCAUAGGGCUUCAACUCACUAACCAUGAGAUCCCAGACUUGAGCUGAAAUCAAGAGUCCCAAUCCUUAGCUGACUGAGCCACCCAGGUGCCCCUGUAUGGAUAGAUAUUAUUAAUAUAUGUUCCAGAAAUUGCAGGGGCGCCUGGGUGGUUCAGUCAGUUUAAUGUUCCACUUCAGCCCAAGUCAUGACCUUGCGCUCCAUGAAUUUGAGCCCCGCAUCGGGCUCUGUGCUGACAGCUCAGAGCCUGGAGCCUGCUUCCGAUUCUGUGUCUCCCAUGUCUCCCUCUCUCUCUGUCCCUCCCUUGCCCAUGCUUUGUCUGUCUCUCAAAAAUAAACAUUAAAAAUUUUAAAAAUAUAUACAUAUAUGUUCCAGAAAUUGUAUAACAUUUUUAAAAAUAUGAUAGGUAAUGUUAUUAGUCAUAAUUGCAUUUAUCAUCUUAAAAUGUUGUGUCAUAGAAAUAAAUUACCUUGCUGAUUGCAUCAUAAAAAAUUCUUAUCAGAUCUUUUACUAUGGCCUUUUAAAAGCCUUCUGUCUUUAUAGACAGUUAUUAUUUUAGUCAGAUGCUUUUGCAAAAGUGUUCCUGCAAAAAUGCUUCAUCUUCAAGGAGACUCACAGAAAGGACUCUAACAAUUACAGGUUUCUGAUUACUUUUAGAUAAUACCACUGAACUGGGUAAGAAUUUAUAGAACUCUAAUGGAGAAACUAGAGGCUUCAUAAAACUAACAAAACAUCAAGAUCAACAAAAUUAAUUAUAUGGAAAUGAAUAAACUGAUGAAGAUGAUUAUAACUUUUUAUGACUUUUGUUUGAAAUAUUGCUGGUUCUUUACUGUUUUGUUUUUCCAGAUUUAAGGAAGCCUUUUUCUCUUUUCUCCUAAGCUAUCAGCAAUUUGGUAAAGUAUACCUUUGUGGCAAAGAUGAAACAAUUACUUUUUCUCCUUACCUGAUCCCUCCAGUAUUUGAAAACUUUUACUACAACUCUCCAAACUAACAUCUCCCAUCCCUUUGACUUGUAAUCGUUGAGAACUGAAACUGCCCUUUCCCAAAGCCAUGAAUGCUGAAGUUGGACAACUUGAUAUAAACUUCAGAGAAAUCACCAUAAUAGUUCACAUGUGGACAGUCUUCAUGACUGCUGGCUGCUGUGUGAUCACUCAGAAGGAUCACCAGAGAUAUUCAAACAGCAAACCAGGAAAAUCUGUCAGAGUGCCCCUGCUUGUCCUCACUCCAUCGGAAGAUGUUUUGAGCCUGACAUCUAAAAAUCUUCUUGACUAGCUGCCUUCAGAACUCAGAAACUGCAAUUAUAGUCUGCUCCAAUCAUUAACUAUUGUUUUUAUUUUAUUUCCAUAGAAAUGUAUGCUAUUAAAUACUUGGUGCAGAUGCUCACACCAUGUAAGCCUAACCUUGGGAGCCUACCUGCAGCACCGCCUCCUGAAAUGAGACACAACUGUUUAACUGAACUGACCUGUUUUCAAAGACAAGAGACUUGUUCAAUGAGAUAAGGGAGAAAUUUUCCAAUCAGCUUCUGAAUUGUGAAACUUCUUUGAAGUUUCAAAGAUGGGGCAGAAUAUUGCCACCCCAAAAUAUGCCACUUUGGCAUAUUGAUGAUUUUGAACUAAAGUUACUUGAGAAACAGCCAGUAUAAGAAUGCUCUGACCCUCCUCUGUACUCCAAAAGUAGAAAAUAAAUCUAUCAUGUGAAAGGUAUUCUCCCUGUACCAGAAAGGAAGAAGCAUUUAUCACUGGAGACAGGGGAUUUAGAGUUGAGAAGACUGGAUAAACAAAACAUGUUACUUCUUCACUAAUUUACUACCUCAAUCCCAAACCCCUUUAUCUUGUCAAUUCUUCACAAAUUUAUCAUUUCCUUGUCUGAAAGUUAUAAAAGCUGCUUGCUUUGUUUCCUUCUUGGAAUCUCAUAUUUUUUAUAGGGCUCCUGUAUGUAUGAAAUUAAAUUUUUUUCCCUCCUAUUAA